GUCUAUGGCCAUACUCUCCUGAACAUGCCCCAAUCUCUUCUGAUCUUGGAAGCUAAGCAGGGGCAGGCCUGGUUAGUAAUUAGAUGGGAGAAGUGAACACUGAGAAGUAGAAA
ensembl:rRNA 5S_rRNA 5S ribosomal RNA